CGCUCAAAGGAUUGCAUCCGCACUUCCUGGUAGCAGCGCGCGGGGCCGUUGCGGGGUUGCUGCGGGGUCCCCGGGGCCGUGCUCUCAGCCCCGGCCUGUCCCCGGUUACCUGGGGCCGGGCGCGGCAGGUGCCCGGGCGGCGACCUCGCCGCGGGUCUGGUCGGGCGCCCAGCGCCGCGGACGCGGAGCGCGAGCCGGGAGCCGGGAGCCGCCGCGCCUCGGGUGGUCUCGGGAGGUGGCAGCGGGGUCCCCCGCCCCCCGAAUUCCGGAAGCGACCGCGAGGACCCGGCUUGCGGAGGAAGGUCCAGCUGGGAGGAAACGCACUUGCUUCGCCCCAUUGCUUUGCUUGUGCAAAUAACUCGGGUAAGGGCCGGGGCGGGGGGUCGUUCAAACCCCGGAGAUAAAUCCACCACAGACCAGAAUUGCAAAGGACACUUGAGUGAGUGUUUGGAUCUCAGAAUUGUUCAUGGCUUCAGGUCAGAUCAAUUUCGUUUGUGCUUUUCAGGUUACUUUUAAACUUCUUUAACUAUGAAACGACUAAUUAACAUACACGUUUUUUCUUGACAGCCCCUAAGGCUGGAGUUUCUUUGUGGUAUCUCUAGAAUAGAAUUGUUGGGAAUUGCAGGUGAGGAUCAGCCUGGCUGCUAUGAGAAUCAUAGGGAUGGAGGGAACCUGUGGUUUAAAGACUAAGAGACAGAAGGCAUCAAUGCUAUGUGUAAACCUUGGUUGGGUCCUGAUUUGAUGAAAAUAGUUUUUUUAAAAAUUGUGCCAAUAGAGGAAAUUUGUACUGGCUGUUUUUUAGUAUUAAGAAUAUUAGUUUUGUUUAGUUACUUUUGGUAACGGUAUCAUGAUUAGGGUUGUUUUUAAACGCUUAUCUGUUAGAAAUACAUUCUAAACUUGAAAUAUAGGUUGAGGAUUUGCUUCAAAAUAAGCCAGUUUUGGGGAGGGCUGCUAGUGGAGAAGUGAGGGGGAACAAGGUGAAGGGAGAUUGGCCAUGAAUUGUUAAUAGUUGAAGAUGGAUGAACGGUAUGGGGGUACGGACUGCCUUGUACUCUUGACUCUGCUUUUGUAUGUUUGGCAUUUUCCUUUCAACGUAACCCCACUUGUGGAGGUUUUUUGCAGAAGGUAGAUUUGGAAGGUAACGCUAGUGGUUCUAGAUUCAAAGCCUUCCACAGAUCCUCACUCUUUGUUAGCUGGGUAUAAAGGCUGCCUCUCCAGACUCAUAACAAGUCUUUUUGUCCCUCCCAGGGGUGCCGCUUUAUUUUGUUGCGAAGGCACAGAGCAUUUGCUGAGUGUGACAAAGCUGAGAGGAUCAAGUUGAUGCAGGUGGAUGCUGGGUCAGCUUUUUUUUUAUACAAAGGGUAUUAGCAAGCAUAGGGGUUGAGCUGUCUCCAAAUGGACAGGUUGUAUAAAAUGUGUUAGCAAUUUUUCUGAACUGCCCAAAUCCUUUCUAAGUUACGCUCAUCAAAAAACAGAGCUCAGAGUAGUGAACACUCCCGUACGCACUUAGGUUUUGCGUACACUUUUGGAAGCAUUGUAUACAUCAGUACAAAGUCAACAUUAUGAAAAUGAAUCACAAGGUGAGUGGAGCUCUACUUAUUACCCGAGAGAGAUCUUAUCUGUGUGUGUGUGGCCUGUUUCCUGUCCUUACCUUGUUUGCUUCAGGUAUCAUGCAGUGUAAAUAUUUAGCAAAGAACUGGCUCCUGAAAUUUCUGUGUAUUCUUUUCCAAGAACCUUGCUUUCAAGAGGAGGGACAUGGGAAGUUAUAUCUAUAUAUUCAUCCAACUUGCUUAUUUUUGCCCCCUCUGGAUUUACCGUAUAAUUCCUACUCAUUCUAUCAUGCCUGAUGAAUAAUUUGGAAACGUGAUGAUCUUAUGAGGGAGCUAUUAAAGUUCAAUAGAGGGAGGAAAGGGAGGCAUAUAGUCCUGCAAGAUAAACCCACAUUUCUUAGUAGAUAUCGUGGAACUGAUUUUAAUGCCUCCUUGCUUUUAAGAGAAAACAACGCAAGUAAAUGAUAUCAGUGAUAGCUGAAAGUUGAAGUGUUAGAUGAAUCCCCUCAGCCUAGACCUUGCCCGUGUAGAUUCACUAGAAUAAAAGAGGUUGUAAAGAUGCUUUAAGUCAGAUUCAGUUGAGGAAAUGUCAGAGCAUGUCCCAGUUUCCUCGUAGUGCAUGGGAAAAUGAGAGAACCAACCAAAAUCCCCUUACUGUUGGGAAAUAUCCUAGUGAAUUCAUGAUGGUACUUAAGUGAAAUUGUUUGGCUUGUGACAGUUUUCUUUGUGUGAAUCAAAGAAAUAGGCAACUGUUAAGUGACUUUAUUUUCGACCUCAGUUCUCUGAGACAAGAACAUGGAGAGAGAAAAGAAACUUGCCAGGUUCUUAAGUGAACAGGCAGUGACCUCAUGUAUGCUCUCCUCUGUGAGAGGACGGUAGAUUUGGGCGGACUCUGGAGAGUUUAUUGUUAAUCGCCAUUUUAAGGAAUUACCACAAAUGUGACACCAUCUUCUCCCGCAUCAUGUUAUGGAAGGGUAUAAACACAUUAGAAAAGCAAACUACAUACUGCUUUGUUGGCCUAGAAACGAGAGGAAAGGGUGUUGGCAAUCCACUCAAUAAUCCUCUUCUAAUUUGUAAGCACUCAGCUCUCAUCUACAUCACUUCAUCCCAUCCUGUGAAGUUCAGCAGCGGUGCUGGAGGAUUAUUUUAGUUUUUAGCAGAUGAGAAAUUUGAAAAUCUAGAGAAGUGAAGGCUUGCCAGGUGGUUUCUUUGGAGAUAUGGGGGAAGGAAAUUUAACAUUCAUUAAGAGUUCAAGUCAUCUUCACACACAUGUUUUUAAUUCUCACAAAGCUCUCUAAAUUGGGUAUUUUCAACCCAUUUUGUGGAUGAAAUUGUAGCUAAGAGAGGUUCGUAGUUCACUUGAGGUCUGGCAGCUGGUAAAAAUAGAGCCAGGAUUCAAAUUCAGAUCUGUUGGACCUUAGAGUUUACAUUAUUUCCAGCCUCUGUGCUGGUCCAAACUCUAGCAGACAGCAGAGCUACCGUACCCAAGAGUUCUUUUUUUUUUUUU